rnacentral:rRNA from 1 species
AAAAAAUUUUUCUAGUUUUUAUUUUUUUUUUAAAAAUUACAGAAAUUAGUACAUUAAAGGAAAUUAAGACUUAUAAAAAGAAAAACUAAAAUUUUGUUCCUUGUGUGUCAUGAUUCAUGGAAUUAAAAAAAUAAUCUUUCAGCUCGAAAAGUAAAGAUCUAAUUUUCUUUGUGUUUAAUGUUUCACAAUUAUAAAUAAAAGGAUAUUAGUAAUAAAAAAUUGUCAAUUUACUUGAUAUCUAGUUUCUUUAGAAAAAAAUUCAAUUUUUAUAAAUUUUAUAAUAAAAUUUAUAAAAUUUUUUAAGGGAUUAGCUUUAAAAAAUAAACCAAAACCAAUCUUUUUUUAAAAAUAAGGAAUCAAAUUUUCCAAAUUAAUUAAUUAUAAAAAUUUUUUAAAGAAAAUUUUAUUCAAGCUUUGAUUUUCUAUAAAGACAAUAAAAACCAAUUUAUAUUAAGAUUAUCAUUAAAUUAGUAAAUACAAUAAAUAUGUUGGAAUUCGGCAAUUAGUCAAUUCGAAUGUUUAACAAAAACAUUGCUUCAAGAAUUUAUUAGAAGUAAAACCUGCUCAGUGAAAAUUUUUAAACAGCCAUAAGCUAAGGUAGCAUAAUAAUUUGCCCUUUAAUUGAGGGAUAGAAUGAAAGGUAAAACGAAAAUGAAUCUUUCUUAAUAAAAAAAAUUUAACUUUUCAUUUAAGUUAAAAGACUUAAAUUUUAUUUUAGGACGACAAGACCCUAUAGAACUUAAUUUUCAAUAGAAAAUUUUACUGGGGAAGUAAAAAAAGAAAAAUUUUUUUUUUUAAAGACUUGUAAAAGAAUCUUUUAACCCUUAUGUGGAAAAAAGAAAAAGUUACCUUAGGGAUAACAGAGUUAAAGUUUUAGAGAGACCAAAUCGAUAAAAAUUUUUGCUACCUCGAUGUUGAAUUAAGGAAAAAUUUAAUAGAAAAAGAUUAAGAAGUUGGUCUGUUCGACCAAUAAAACCUUACAUGAUUUGAGUUAAGACCGGCGUGAGCCAGGUUGGUUUCUAUCCUAAACCUAUUUUUUUUUAUAGUACGAAAGGACCUAAAAAAUUAAUUUUAUUAAUUAAUUAGCUUAUACAAAGCAUGUAUUUUGAAAAUACAAGAAAGAUU